rnacentral:rRNA from 1 species
UACGGGGGGGGCAAGCGUUGUUCGGAAUUACUGGGCGUAAAGGGCUCGUAGGCGGCUAUUUAAGUCAGACGUGAAAUCCCUCGGCUUAACCGGGGAACGGCGUCUGAUACUGGACGGCUUGAGUUCGGGAGAGGGAUGCGGAAUUCCAGGUGUAGCGGUGAAAUGCGUAGAUAUCUGGAGGAACACCGGUGGCGAAGGCGGCUCUCUAGUACGGUACUGACGCUGAGACGCGAAAGCGUGGGGAGCGAACAGG